UUAUGUAUGGCAUAUUCAGUAAAGAAGUAACGAGUAAAGACGUUGACGUUGAAUACCGCUUCCUUGCCGAACCUUAUAUUAGUGCCUCAUUCAGUCGUGUCUCUGGUUUUCUGUCAGUCGCCUCCGGGCAAAUAAACAUUCAAAGGAAUUACGAAGAUGGCAAAAAUUAAAGGUCAGGUGAAGUGGUUUAACGAAUCCAAAGGUUUUGGCUUCAUUACGCCGGCGGACGGUAGCAAAGAUGUGUUCGUUCACUUCUCUGCUAUUCAGGGUAAUGGUUUCAAAACGCUGGCUGAAGGUCAGAACGUUGAGUUCGAAAUUCAGGAUGGUCAGAAAGGCCCGGCAGCGGUUAACGUUGUGGCGAUCUGAUAACAUCGCAACGUCUGCGCUGUACCCUCAGCGUACAGCUUAGAGAUGAUGCAAAGGCCCCGGUUUAUCGCCGGGGCCUUUCUU
rfam:Pantoea sp. PSNIH2, complete genome.